rnacentral:rRNA from 1 species
GACGAACGCUGGCGGCGUGCCUAAUACAUGCAAGUCGAGCGCUUGCACAAGAAAGCUUGCUUUCUUGUUGCUUGAGCGGCGGACGGGUGAGUAACACGUGGGCAACCUGCCUAUAAGACUGGGAUAACUUCGGGAAACCGGAGCUAAUACCGGAUAAUGCUUUUGAACACAUGUUUGAAAGCUGAAAGAUGGUUUCGCCUAUCACUUAUAGAUGGGCCCGCGGCGCAUUAGCUAGUUGGUGAGGUAACGGCUCACCAAGGCGACGAUGCGUAGCCGACCUGAGAGGGUGAUCGGCCACACUGGGACUGAGACACGGCCCAG